rnacentral:rRNA from 1 species
CAAAAACCGGUACCCAGUUCGGAUUGUAGGCUGCAACUCGCCUACAUGAAGUCGGAGUUGCUAGUAAUCGCGGAUCAGAAUGCCGCGGUGAAUGCGUUCCCGGGCCUUGUACACACCGCCCGUCACACCAUGAGAGUCGGGAACACCCGAAGUCCGUAGUCUAACCGCAAGGGGGGCGCGGCCGAAGGUGGGUCCGGUAAUUGGGGUGAAGUCGUAACAAGGUAAC